UACGGGGGGGGCAAGCGUUGUUCGGAAUUACUGGGCGUAAAGGGCUCGUAGGCGGCCAACUAAGUCAUACGUGAAAGCCCCGGGCUCAACCUGGGAAUUGCAUUCGAGACUGAAUAGCUAGGGUACGGUAGAGGGAAGUGGAAUUUCCGGUGUAGCGGUGAAAUGCGUAGAUAUCGGAAGGAACAUCAGUGGCGAAAGCGACUUCCUGGACCAGUACCGACGUCAGGCACGAAAGCGUGGGGAGCAAACAGG
rnacentral:rRNA from 1 species